rnacentral:rRNA from 1 species
UACGUAGGGUGCGAGCGUUGUCCGGAAUUAUUGGGCGUAAAGAGCUCGUAGGCGGUCUGUCGCGUCUGCUGUGAAAUCCCGAGGCUCAACCUCGGGCUUGCAGUGGGUACGGGCAGGCUAGAGUGCGGGUAGGGGAGAAUGGAACUCCUGGUGUAGCGGUGGAAUGCGCAGAUAUCAGGAAGAACACCGAUGGCGAAGGCAGUUCUCUGGGCCGUAACUGACGCUGAGGAGCGAAAGCGUGGGGAGCAAACAGG